GUCUGCAUGGAGCCGACCUUGAAAUACCACCCUUUAAUGUUUGAUGUUCUAACGUGGACCCGUUACCCGGGUUGCGGACAGUGUCUGGUGGGUAGUUUGACUGGGGCGGUCUCCUCCUAAAGAGUAACGGAGGAGCACGAAGGUUGGCUAAUCCUGGUCGGACAUCAGGAGGUUAGUGCAAUGGCAUAAGCCAGCUUGACUGCGAGCGUGACGGCGCGAGCAGGUGCGAAAGCAGGUCAUAGUGAUCCGGUGGUUCUGAAUGGAAGGGCCAUCGCUCAACGGAUAAAAGGUACUCCGGGGAUAACAGGCUGAUACCGCCCAAGAGUUCAUAUCGACGGCGGUGUUUGGCACCUCGAUGUCGGCUCAUCACAUCCUGGGGCUGAAGUAGGUCCCAAGGGUAUGGCUGUUCGCCAUUUAAAGUGGUACGCGAGCUGGGUUUAGAACGUCGUGAGACAGUUCGGUCCCUAUCUGCCGUGGGCGCUGGAGAACUGAGGGGGGCUGCUCCUAGUACGAGAGGACCGGAGUGGACGCAUCACUGGUGUUCGGGUUGUCAUGCCAAUGGCACUGCCCGGUAGCUAAAUGCGGAAGAGAUAAGUGCUGAAAGCAUCUAAGCACGAAACUUGCCCCGAGAUGAGUUCUCCCUGAGACUUUAGGUCUCCUGAAGGAACGUUGAAGACGACGACGUUGAUAGGCCGGGUGUGUAAGCGCAGCGAUGCGUUGAGCUAACCGGUACUAAUGAACCGUGAGGCUUAACCUUACAACGCCG
rnacentral:rRNA from 1 species